AUGGCCUCCAAGGCCCCUCGAUCCCCCAAGGUCACUUUUAAAAGCUGUGCGGCCUGUGGGAAGAAAAUCCCUUCCACGGACGGUCACCGUUUGUGUUUAUUUUGCCUUGGAGAGUCACACGUUCCUCAAUCCUGUCGACAUUGCGAAAGUUUUACCAAGCAGGGGUUGAGACUUAGAGAACAGCGCCUACGCGCAGCUCUUUGGGAGAAAUUGUUGCAACCUCCAGAUAUGGCGGCAACUGCUUCAGCCAUGGUUCCUGACCCUUUACCGGACUUAAAAUCCAAGGGGAAGGCUAAAGCUUCUAAAGGCAAAGCCAAGGCUAAACCGUCGCCCAAACCAUCGAAAGCCGAGGUUCUGGCCUCGCCACCCCCUCCGCCUCCGCGGGCCACUCCUAUUCUAGUGCCACCAACGUCUCCAUCAUUGCCGGUGCUGACCCCACAGUCUCCUAUUGAAAUCCCUUCCCAGGGUUCCUCGCCGCCAUCUUCUCCUUCUCUGCAGGUUCCAUUUCCACCUACACCGAUGCUACCUUCGUCUCCUAGAAAGAAGAAAGCGAAGACCAAGCAUUUGGUACCAUCUGCUGGAGAUUCCCGGUCUCCGAGACAAUCGGGACCGAAGGUCUCCCCCCAUGGGGCUCGACAUUCUUGCCCCAAAAACAAGAGGCAUGCGUUACCGCACGACACACCGCCUCUUAAGCUCUCCAAGAGCUAUCUUAAGAAAUGGAGAAAGCAGAUGCAAAAGCUAUACGACCCGCGCCUUCUGUAUAGCCUUGCUACUCAUGAUUCGUCUUCGGACUCUUCUUCGUCUUUGUCGGAUUCCUCUGACGGAUUUUCGUCCCCUCUGGUAUCACUUUCUCCCGAUACCAGCAAAAAGAGACACCGCUCGGUACCGGUCAAUCCUCCAGUACCGAAGAAAGCGAAACACGGCUAUCCACCCAGCUUUCCAAUGCCACCCUGUCCGCCAAUACCGACGAACGACGACCCGUCCUACCCAAUUCCCCGGGACGGUACUGUACCUUCCGGUACUGACCCUACCGGUACCGCACCUCACAAACGGAAGCGUUCUAACCCCGCAGCGCCGUCGAUACCGCAACCAAAGAAGAAACACCGUCACCUCUCAUCUGAUUCUGACUCAUUCCAAUUGGAUCAGAUCGGUACCGACCGGGACUCCGAUACCGAUGAUGGCCCCGAUACCGGUAACACAAACCCUCAAGAUACCGGUGCUCCAUAG
rnacentral:lncRNA from 1 species